CUACGGAGGGUGCAAGCGUUAAUCGGAAUUACUGGGCGUAAAGCGCGCGUAGGCGGCUGAUUAAGUCGGAUGUGAAAUCCCUGGGCUCAACCUAGGAACUGCAUCCGAUACUGGUCAGCUAGAGUUUUGGAGAGGUAAGUGGAAUUUCCGGUGUAGCGGUGAAAUGCAUAGAGAUCGGAAGGAACACCAGUGGCGAAGGCGACUUACUGGCCAAAAACUGACGCUGAGGUGCGAAAGCGUGGGUAGCGAACAGGAUUAGAAACCCUAGUAGUCC
rnacentral:rRNA from 1 species